AAUCUGGAGCAGCGCACGGGCGUAGAAUGCAGGCAGCCCCGGCCAACAGCGCGCGGGCGUGGAAAGCGGGUGUCCCGCGGCCCGGUCAACCCUCGCCGGAGCAGCACGCACACUUGGAAGGCCCCCGGAUUUUAGUCGUGCAGGCACGGAGCUCUACAUGACGACAAACACAAAAGUUACUCAAGAAUACAAGACAGAAGAAGUGGAACAAAAUACCAGGUAAAUUUCGCCAUGUCUCACCCUGAGAUGCAGACUACAGCAGGGAUUCACUGGCAAGCACGAAGCCCAGUCAAGGAAGGAUCGGGGAGUGCAUUCAUGUUUUGCACGCAAGAAGAUUGAAAAAACAAGCAUUGAAUGCAGCAGCAUCGUGAAAGCAAAGAAAAAAUAUGAAUAAAAAAAGCAAGACUGACACAAACACGCAUGGUGGAAAACACACAAAACAUCAUCAUUAGCACACAGUUAAGUUAUAAAUAAAAGCCCAGCAUCAUAUGGUUGAAGCUAAAAACUUACUUAAAACAUUAUUCUUUUAAGCUUGAAUAUGCUGCUCCUUGUUCUUUCUUAUGAGCAACAAAAUUAUUCUGUUUUAUUUUAUUCUAUUUUUUCUCUCUUGAUAGAAGAGAACAUAUUUGAAAUAUCAAUAAAAACAAUCAUUAAUAUUCUGUGUGUACAAAGCCACAGUUGGCCGGAAAAGGUGCCUUUUGCAUGCAUGGUAACAUAGGCCUUUCCUACUUAUAAAGUAUCCAGUUAUCGACUGACAACUAAGCCAUUAAACUUUACACAAAAGACUUCUGCAAAAGAUCAACCAUCACUUUAGAUAUCCCUACUUGCUGUGUACAAACACAGAGUCAUUCAAACAAGUAAUUCCCUAGGGAAUGCAUUGACGGAAUUUUUAGAAUAUUUUCAACUCGAUC